rnacentral:rRNA from 1 species
GUCGUAACCAAGGUCUCCGUAGGUGAACCUGCGGAGGGAUCAUUACACAAAUAUGAAGGCGGGCUGGAACCUCUCGGGGUUACAGCCUUGCUGAAUUAUUCACCCUUGUCUUUUGCGUACUUCUUGUUUCCUUGGUGGGUUCGCCCACCACUAGGACAAACAUAAACCUUUUGUAAUUGCAAUCAGCGUCAGUAACAAAUUAAUAAUUACAACUUUCAACAACGGAUCUCUUGGUUCUGGCAUCGAUGAAGAACGCAGCGAAAUGCGAUAAGUAGUGUGAAUUGCAGAAUUCAGUGAAUCAUCGAAUCUUUGAACGCACAUUGCGCCCUUUGGUAUUCCAAAGGGCAUGCCUGCUCGAGCGUCAUUUGUACCCUCAAGCUUUGCUUGGUGUUGGGCGUCUUGUCUCUAGCUUUGCUGGAGACUCGCCUUAAAGUAAUUGGCAGCCGGCCUACUGGUUUCGGAGCGCAGCACAAGUCGCACUCUCUAUCAGCAAAGGUCUAGCAUCCAUUAAGCCUUUUUUUCAACUUUUGACCUCGGAUCAGGUAGGGAUACCCGC